rnacentral:rRNA from 1 species
UACGUAGGGGGCAAGCGUUGUCCGGAUUUAUUGGGCGUAAAGAGCGUGUAGGCGGCCUAACAGGUCAGCUGUGAAAACUCGAGGCUCAACCUCGAGACGUCGGUUGAAACCGUUUGGCUAGAGUCCGGAAGAGGAGAGUGGAAUUCCCGGUGUAGCGGUGAAAUGCGCAGAUAUCGGGAAGAACACCUAUGGCGAAGGCAGCUCUCUGGGACGGUACUGGACGGCUGAAGACGCGAAAGCGUGGGGAGCGAACAGG